rnacentral:rRNA from 1 species
UACGUAGGGUGCAAGCGUUGUCCGGAAUUAUUGGGCGUAAAGAGCUCGUAGGCGGUGUGUCACGUCGGCCGUGAAAACCUGCAGCUUAACUGUGGGCGUGCGGUCGAUACGGGCAUCACUGGAGUUCGGCAGGGGAGACUGGAAUUCCUGGUGUAGCGGUGAAAUGCGUAGAGAUCGUAAGGAAAACCAGUGGCGAAGGCGGGUCUCUGGACAGUUCCUGACGCUGAGGCACGAAGGCCAGGGGAGCAAACGGG